CAAAUGAAUUGACGGGGGCCCGCACAAGCGGUGGAGCAUGUGGUUUAAUUCGAUGCAACGCGAAGAACCUUACCUGGUCUUGACAUCCACAGAACUUUCCAGAGAUGGAUUGGUGCCUUCGGGAACUGUGAGACAGGUGCUGCAUGGCUGUCGUCAGCUCGUGUUGUGAAAUGUUGGGUU
rnacentral:rRNA from 1 species